GUCACCUGUGACUGCUUCAGAAUGCGUCUCUAACAGGAUGAGGGUGGUGGUUGUCCUUUGAACGUAACCAUAAGGUCGUUAUCAUGGGACCACCUGGAUGGGAGAGGUCACGCUGGAAUCACCACAUCCUGCGCUUUGAGAGGGAGCACGGUCCCAGCCCAGGCCUGUUCUUCCUCGCAGGCAAGUUCCCUAGAGCAGCAGUUCCCAAAGGGGGCUCCUGGGACCAGUCGCAUCAGCACUGGCAUUGCCAUCGCUGGGGACCUCGUUAGAAAUGCAGGUUCUCAGGCUGCCCGAGCCCUCCCGAGGGAGGGACUCUGGGGCUGGGCCUGGCAGCCUGUGUGGCAUGCCCUCCCUGACUCCGAUGCCCGCUCUGGGAGGAGAUGAUAACACAGGGAGGUGGUUCCCUUUUGCUUGUCGGUUUAUUAUUUAUGCAGGUCCUGGAUCCUUCCCCAGAGGAUGCUGAGGGGUUGGUCUUGAGCGGUUUUGCCUUCCAGCAGACUCAGGAGCCCAGCCGUCAGUGGGCAUGGGAGAGAAGAGUCGGGGGUAGGCCUCUGAGAGGACAGAGGGGCCAAUCCAGUGGUAUAAUCAGGCCAAGCUACAAAAUGAGACCCCCCACCCCCACCCCGGGCCUGGACACACCGGAGUGGGGGUGGCGUCUCCCAAGCUUGACAGGAAGCCGCAAAAAUCAUACAGGAAGGCCCUGGGUACCUUUCACUCAGCUGUCUCCCAGGUCACAUCUUAUGUAACCGCCGUGCCAGAUGGAAGCCAGGAAACUGCCCUGCUUGGUGUGGAAGCAAGGUCUCUGUGCCCUGAUCUCAGGUGUGGACUCCUAUAAAGUACGGGCUCCGUCACCACGUGGCUGUCCUCACUUUGUAGUCACCCCAUCCCUAGCCCCUGCCAGCCGCCAGCCUGCCCUCCAUCUCUGUAAUUGCGUCAUGUCGAGAAUGUUCUGUAGGCGGAAUCCUACGCUGUGUGGCCGUUUCAGAUUCGCACCUGUUCUUCCCAGAGUAUCCACGUGUGUGUGCCUUUGCUCCGUCGCUUUUUCGCCCCCUCCCCCCUUUCCUGAAACCCUUCAGCGUGCCCUUCCAGAGGGACACUCUCUCACCACCAGAGUGCCCUGACCAGCCUCAGAAGUUGACGUCAUUCCGGAGUCUUCCCUCCAGGCCUUGGGUGAAGUCGGCUGUUGUCCCCCUCACGGCCUUGAUAGCAGACGAUAAAGCCUUUUCCCAGCUCCAAGGCUGACUCAGGAUCACAAAUUACGUUUGAGUGUUACGACUCUUUGGUCUCUCGGGAACAUCCCACGGCCUUUCUUUGCCUUUCCUGGCAGUUCCGAAGAGCACAAGCCAGUUAUUUCCUAGGAUGCCCCUCCGAGGGGAUUGCCGUUUCCUCAUGAUGGGGCUUGGGUUCCGCACUUGGCCUGGAAUUCCCUGAAAUGAAGCUCUGUCCCCUCGGGCGCCGUGUCCCGGGCACAUGAUGCCGUUGGUCUUGAUGACCCUCGUCCUUUGGUCACGGUGGGGCCUGGCAGGUUUCUCCACUGCUUCGCUUUGUGGCUCAUCGCUCGCUUGUGGGGUCUUGAGACGGUGUACGUGUCUUGUUUUUCACUAAGAGCUCAUCUGCCUUCUCUUUCAGAUGUUAACAGAAUCUUUUUAUUGCGGCAGAAUUUACCUACAGAAAGGCACACAGAAUGCCAGUCCUGCUCCGUGAGCUGUUACAUAGUGGACACCUGGACACUGAAGCCUGGGCCGAGAGGGAGGGAGGGUUGGGCCCUGGCGGAGAGACCUGUGAAGGUCAAAAGGUGGGGAGGCUGGAUGGCGCUCAGGGUGUUUGACAAACCGCCAGGAGGCUGGCAGGGAGGGGCCAGGCUUCUCAGAGAACUGGCCCCACGCCUUCUGCACAAUGUAACCGGGGACCCUGGGACUCUCCAAACGUUCAGAGGGAGCCCCUGAGAACUUUAAACUCUAUUGUAUCCAAAAAAAAAAAAAAUAGAAAUUGUACAUUUAGCUUCCCGUCCAUCUCCCCAAUUUACAUAUAAACGCAUCCGUUCACCAUUGGACCAACACAUGUUCAGAGCAUCCCUUAGAAGUUUAUCUUCAUUGAGAAAAAACCCACAUGACAUAAAAGUCACCAUUUUGACUCUCUGAAAGUGUGCGGUGCAGUGGACUUUAAUACAUUUGCGAGGCCCUGCAACCAGCCCCUCUAAUUCCAAAAUAUCAUCGUCACCCCAAAAAGAAAAUGUAUACUUUCCAAAUUUUGCUCUCUUCCCAGCGCCUGGCAGUCACUUGUCUUCCUCUCUGGGGAUUUGUUUCUUCUGGACGUUUCAUGUAAAGGGACUCCUACGUUGAGUGGCCUCUGUGUCAGGCUUUUUCCACACAAAUGUGAUGCUUUCAAGGUUCAGCCAUGUUAUCGUGGGAUCAGCACUUGCUUCCUUUCAAGGCUGAAUCAUAGCCCAUGGCCAAGAUGGACCACAUUCUGUUCAUCCAUUCGCUGCUGUUGGACAUUUGGGUUGUUUGUGCUUUGGUGCCUUCUUUUAAGCUCAUAAAAGUAAUAGAAUACCAUGGCUUUGUGGAAACCAUGGGGACAGUGGGGACACCUGUGCUGGAGAUCUCCCGUGGUCCAGGGACGAGGAGGGGCCUCUCAGGAAAAGAGCAACUCAGUUCAAACUUGAAGCAUGAGUGGGAGUUAGCAGGGCAAGAAUUUGGGGGCAAGGGGCCCUCUGGGGUGUGGCCCUG